CCCAGACUCCUACGGGAGGCAGCAGUGAGGAAUAUUGGUCAAUGGCCGAGAGGCUGAACCAGCCAAGUCGCGUGAGGGAAGACGGCCCUACGGGUUGUAAACCUCUUUUGUCGGGGAGCAAAGCGAGUCACGUGUGACUCAUUGAGAGUACCCGAAGAAAAAGCAUCGGCUAACUCCGUGCCAGCAGCCGCGGUAAUACGGAGGAUGCGAGCGUUAUCCGGAUUUAUUGGGUUUAAAGGGUGCGUAGGCGGCCUUUUAAGUCGGCGUUAAAACCCCGGGCCUCACCCCCGGCGAGCCGUUGAAACUGGCUGUCUUGAGAUGUCGAGAGGUAUGCGGAACGCGCAGUGUAGCGGUGAAAUGCUUAGAUAUUGCGCAGAACUCCGAUUGCGAAGGCAGCAUACCGGCGCUCAACUGACGCUCAUGCACGAAAGUGUGGGUAUCGAACAGGAUUAGAUACCCUUGUAUCA
rnacentral:rRNA from 1 species